AUUGAACGCUGGCGGCAUGCCUAACACAUGCAAGUCGCACGCGAAAGGGGGCAACCCUGAGUAGAGUGGCGGACGGGUGAGUAACGCGUAGGAAUCUACCUGGUAGUGGGGGACAACCCGGUGAAAACCGGGCUAAUACCGCAUACGAUCCACGGAUGAAAGCAGGGGACCGCAAGGCCUUGCGCUAUCAGAUGAGCCUGCGUCGGAUUAGCUAGUUGGUGGGGUAAAGGCCCACCAAGGCGACGAUCCGUAGCUGGUUUGAGAGAACGACCAGCCACACUGGGACUGAGACACGGCCCAGACUACUACGGGAGGCAGCAGUGGGGAAUAUUGGACAAUGGGGGCAACCCUGAUCCAGCAAUGCCGCGUGUGUGAAGAAGGCCUUCGGGUUGUAAAGCACUUUCGGUGGGGACAAACAAGGUGGAGCUAACAUCUCCGCCUCUGAUGGUACCCAAAGAAGAAGCACCGGCUAACUCUGUGCCAGCAGCCGCCGCGG
rnacentral:rRNA from 1 species